GCAGUAGUGGUUCAGUGGUAGAACUCUUGCCUUCCAUGCGGGAGACUUGGGUUUGAGUCCCAGCCAAUACU
rnacentral:tRNA from 1 species